ACACGUUCUCAGGGCGGGGUGAAACUCCCCACCGGCGGUGAUGUCAUCGACCCCAUGGUCGGCGGCGAGCCCGCGAGCGCCCCGCACGUGCGGGGGUCAGCAGACCCGGUGUGAUCCCGGGGCCGACGGUCAUAGUCCGGAUGGAAGAGAACCUCG
rfam:Dietzia cinnamea P4 contig00129, whole genome shotgun sequence.